rnacentral:rRNA from 1 species
GGACUACAAGGGUAUCUAAUCCUGUUUGAUCCCCACGCUUUCGUGCCUCAGUGUCAGUUGUAGUUUUGUAUGCUGCCUUCGCAAUGGGUGUUCUGUGUCAUAUCUAAGCAUUUCACCGCUACAUGACACAUUCCACAUACAUCAAAUACACUCAAGAAUGACAGUAUCAAUGGCAGUUCUACAGUUAAGCUGCAGGUUUUCACCACUGACUUGACAUUCCACCUACGCACCCUUUAAACCCAGUAAAUCCGGAUAACGCUCGAAUCCUCCGUAUUACCGCGGCUGCUGGCAC